rnacentral:rRNA from 1 species
CGGGUGAGUAACACGUAUGCAACCUGCCUGCCACAGCCGGAUAAUCGGGAGAAAUUCCGUCUAAUACGGCAUAAUGCAUCGACGGGACAUCCUGUUGGUGCCAAAGGUUGAUUCCGGUGGCGGAUGGGCAUGCGUCGCAUUAGUUAGUUGGCGGUGUAACGGACCACCAAGACGACGAUGCGUAGGGGUUCUGAGAGGAGGGUCCCCCACACUGGUACUGAGACACGGACCAGACUCCUACGGGAGGCAGCAG